UACCAGCACCCCGAGUGGUCGGGACGUUUAUUGGGCCUAAAGCAUCCGUAGCCGGUUCUACAAGUCUUCCGUUAAAUCCACCUGCUUAACAGAUGGGCUGCGGAAGAUACUAUGGAGCUAGGAGGCGGGAGAGGCAAGCGGUACUCGAUGGGUAGGGUAAAAUCCGUUGAUCCAUUGAAGACCACCAGUGGCGAAGGCGGCUUGCCAGAACGCGCUCGACGGUGAGGGAUGAAAGCUGGGGAGCAAACCGG
rnacentral:rRNA from 1 species